ACUGAAAAUGUUUUGUUUUUAAGGACGCGCUCUGCUCUGCCAUGCUGCAAACUUCUCUCUUUCUAUCUCUAUCUCUCUCUUUGCGCAGGUGCGAGUCCUGCGGACGAAAACAAAUCGAUUUCCGAAAUUUGUAUAUGUUACCUUACGCGCAACAUAAAUAAAAAUUCCCGGGGGCUCCCAGCACUGUAAUUUCUUUCUGAGGCACAAAAUCCUCCGUAAGGUUAAGCUACAGGACACUCGCAUCAUACCAAUAAUAAUACAGCAACUUGCCGCGGGAAGCUUUAUAAGCUGAACAGAAUGCUGAGGGCAGGGAGCAAGCUAAGCCUUAGCAACAAAGUGUUGCUUUACAGAGCGAAAGUAUUCCCUUCAAUGACCUAUUGCGUCUAAAUAUCAGUUAGGAAGCAGAUCAAUCGUCAUUCAAAUCGCUACAACAAUCGGCUUCAGGCCCACACCAACCACCUAGCGAAUUCACAAGCUAACCCGACGACCAGGAAAAGACUGAAGAGGCGUCACCCUGGAUACCUUUGGACAAGAGGGAGAAGAAGAA